rnacentral:rRNA from 1 species
UACGAAGGGGGCUAGCGUUGCUCGGAAUCACUGGGCGUAAAGCGCACGUAGGCGGAUUGCUAAGUCAGGGGUGAAAUCCUGGAGCUCAACUCCAGAACUGCCUUUGAUACUGAAAGUCUUGAGUAUGGGAGAGGUGAGUGGAACUGCGAGUGUAGAGGUGAAAAUUCGUAGAUAUUCGCAAGAACACCAGUGGCGAAGGCGGCUCACUGGCCCAUUACUGACGCUGAGGCACGAAAGCGCUGGGGAGCAAACAGGG